rnacentral:rRNA from 1 species
GGGUGAGUAACGCGUAAUCAACCUGCCCUGCAAUGGGGGACAACAGUUGGAAACGACUGCUAAUACCGCAUACGACCUAACUUCGGCAUCGAGGAUAGGUGAAAGGUGGCCUCUAUUUAUAAGCUAUCGUUGCAGGAGGGGAUUGCGUCUGAUUAGCUAGUUGGAGGGGUAACGGCCCACCAAGGCAAUGAUCAGUAGCCGGUCUGAGAGGAUGAACGGCCACAUUGGGACUGAGACACGGCCCAAACUCCUACGGGAGGCAGCAGUGGGGAAUCUUCCGCAAUGGACGAAAGUCUGACGGAGCAACGCCGCGUGAGUGAUGAAGGUCUUCGGAUUGUAAAGCUCUGUUAAUCGGGACGAAAGAGCGCUGUGUGAAUAAUGCAGUGAAGUGACGGUACCGGAAUAGAAAGCCACGGCUAACUACGUGCCAGCAGCCGCGGUAAUACGUAGGUGGCAAGCGUUGUCCGGAAUUAUUGGGCGUAAAGCGCGCGCAGGCGGAUCUGCCAGUCAGUCUUAAAAGUUUGGGGCUUAACCCCGUGAUGGGAUUGAAACUACAGAUCUAGAGUAUCGGAGAGGAAAGUGGAAUUCCUAGUGUAGCGGUGAAAUGCGUAGAUAUUAGG